AGGUUGGCAAUUAAGAAAUGUUAAGAGUAAGUUCUAAUUACCUUCCUACCCUUGUAUCUUGUUCCCUUGUUGCUCUUUGAUAGCCUUAAUUGAAGCCCACAUGUGAAUCACAUCUUCUGCUGCAUGCUGGCUCCUUCUGCCUGAAUACACAGAAAUCAUCAUAAAUCCCAACUUGCCCUCUGAGAGACACAGCAAGAGAGGGAACACAAGCAGGGAGAAUGGGAGAGGGAGAAGCCGGCUUCCCAC
rnacentral:lncRNA from 1 species